GAUGAACGCUGGCGGCGUGCCUAAUACAUGCAAGUCGAGCGAACGGACGAGAAGCUUGCUUCUCUGAUGUUAGCGGCGGACGGGUGAGUAACACGUGGAUAACCUACCUAUAAGACUGGGAUAACUUCGGGAAACCGGAGCUAAUACCGGAUAAUAUUUUGAACCGCAUGGUUCAAAAGUGAAAGACGGUCUUGCUGUCACUUAUAGAUGGAUCCGCGCUGCAUUAGCUAGUUGGUAAGGUAACGGCUUACCAAGGCAACGAUGCAUAGCCGACCUGAGAGGGUGAUCGGCCACACUAGAACGGAGACACGGACCAGACUCCUACGGGAGGCAGCAGUAGGGAAUCUUCCGCAGUGGGCGAAAGCCUGACGGAGCAACGCCGCGUGAGUGAUGAAGGUCUUCGGAUCGUAAAACUCUGUUAUUAGGGAAGAACAUAUGUGUAAGUAACUGUGCACAUCUUGACGGUACCUAAUCAGAAAGCCACGGCUAACUACGUG
rnacentral:rRNA from 1 species